rnacentral:rRNA from 1 species
GACGAACGCUGGCGGCGUGCUUAACACAUGCAAGUCGAACGGAAAGGCCCUGCUUGCCGGGUACUCGAGUGGCGAACGGGUGAGUAACACGUGUGUGUUCUGCCCUGCACUUCGGGAUAUGCCUGGUAAACUGGGUCUAAUACCGGAUAGGAGCCAUUUUUAGUGUGAUGGUUGGAAAGUUUUUUCGGUUUAGUAUUAGCUCGCGGCCUAUCAGCUUGUUUGUUGGGUAAUGGCCUACCAAGGCGGCGACGGGUAGCCGGCCUGAGAGGGUGGACGGGCAAAUUGGGACUGGGAAACGGCCCAGAAUCCUACGGGGGGCAGCAGUGGGGAAUAUUGCACAAUGGGCGCAAGCCUGAUGCAGCGACGCCGCGUGGGGGAUGACGGCCUUCGGGUUGUAAACUCCUUUCGCUAGGGACGAAGCUGUUUGUGACGGUACCUAGAUAAGAAGCACCGGCUAACUACGUG